GUUAGGAAUAUUGGACAAUGGGCGCAAGCCUGAUCCAGCCAUGCCGCGUGAACGAUGAAGGCCUUCGGGUUGUAAAGUUCUUUAGCCGAUGAUUAUAAUGACUGUAGUCGGAAAAUAAGCCCCGGCUAACUUCGUGCCAGCAGCCGCGGUAAUACGAAGGGGGCGAGCGUUAUUCGGAAUCACUGGGCGUAAAGCGUGCGUAGGCGGUCUCGUAAGUUAGGAGUGAAAGCCCAGGGCUCAACCUUGGAAUUGCUCUUAAUACUGCAAGGCUAGAAUCUCUGAGAGGAUAGCGGAAUUUCCAGUGUAGCAGUGAAAUGCGUAGAUAUUGGAAGGAACACCAGUGGCGUAAGCGGCUAUCUGGACGAGUAUUGACGCUGAGGCACGAAAGCGUGGGGAUCAAACAGGAUUAGAAACCCGUGUAGUCC
rnacentral:rRNA from 1 species